GGUAUGGCUACAGACCAAGUGAACAUAAAAAUGUUGUAUCUGUAGGGCGACAUGUUUAAAAACACAAAGGUUAAUUUUAAAAAGUGAAAUGUUUUUAUUUGUUAAAAAAAAGUUAGGUUUUAAGCUUUACUUUAGAAAAUGAAUGUCAGAUUGUAAAUUAUCAUGCUUAAAAAAACAAUACAUUUUCUUUACAUUUUAAUCUUAAAAUAGAAAAAAAAUUAAAGUCAGAUUUCUUGUGUUAUUUCAAGUAAAAUAGAGCUGAAGUAGAAAAUAAUAGAAUGCCAGCACAAGGUUACACUUGAUUAGAUUCUGGGGAGAGCUAAUUGUACAUAGAGUGUACAUUGUAGGUGUUUUGACACAGGAACUUAUAUAUCCCAGGCUGGACUUAACCUUGUGAUAUAGCAAAAUUGUCUUAAACUUCCGGUUUCCCUGCCUCUGCCUCCCAAGUGCUAGGAUGACAGGCAUGCCCAGUGUGCCUAGCCUUUUUAACCAUUUCAACUCUGAGCUCAUCUAAUGAGAGGUUACUGAUGACCAAACUUCUCCAUUUUAUUUUUAAGUGAUUAGUCAAAUGAAGUAUUUGCUUCUUAUUAAUGUAAUGACAGUCCUCAGAUGACAGUGGCCUUACCCUAAGUAUCAUCUCCUACUUCCCCCACAUUUUAGAAAUGAUCUCCUGCAUUCCCAAAGGGAGGUUUGUCUCCACCCACACUGCUGGGAGGGAAAGGUCUAAUAACAGUAAAAAGUAACAUACACAGUCAACAGUAGGGGAGUGACUAUGCUUUCUGGACAAAUAGGUAACCCAUAGAUACUAGUUAAAAUGUAAGAAAUUAGAAAAGCAGAUAACUAACAGAAAAGUGAGUUUAUGUGUUAUAAACACAAAUAAGAAAAACAGAAGCACAGCCCCUUAUUGUAUACUAAGUUUUCCUUUGCAGUUUGGCUCCUUCCUGACCCACUGUGUCACAACCUGACAGGCGAUCUCAGCCCCAGGAGCACAUGUAGUUUAAUGCUUGUAUGCUAUUUAAAGGUCCAUUUGAGCCACGUGUAGUGAUGACAUGCCUGUAACUUGGAGAUUUGGGGAGAGAAACCAUGAGUUUGAGGCCAGCCUGUGCUGUAUAGGGGCCCUAUAUCCACAAGAAAGGAAACAGCGUUCCUUUGGUGGCGGUGGGUAUUUUUAGUCCACACAAUCAGAGUAGCCAUGAGUCAUCCCUACACACUUUUGCCAUCUCAGUCAGAAUAGAGAAGUCAUACUGUCUGUUUUCUAUAUGUCUAUUUUAUGCCCUUUACAAAAUAGUUCAGAAAAAAAACCAAACAAGCUUGAACUUAAUUAAAGGGAAAAAUAAUUCCUUUAAAAGAGUAAUUUGCCAGUAUUUGCCCUUGAUAUGGGAACUUUUACUAUUUCUAAAGUUAAAGUCAGAAAAUGAUUAAUAACAACAACAACUUUACUUAGAGGUAAAUCCCUCUUCCCCCAAUAUUAGUAUAAAAGACAGCAUUGAAUCUGUCAUUGCCAAAUUAUUAGUGAAUGUAUAGUUCAGAUUUGCUAGUCUUUGAAACACAGCACUCCUAAGUUUCUAACAGGAUUCCAAUGUUAUUUUGGUGUGUUUGUGACCACUAAGCUUGCUUCUUACUAUAAAGGUAUUACCUCUAUACAACUGUACAGGACUUCACAGAAAAUCAGAAGAUGCAGAGAGAGUGGGCCCGGUCUUAACAGAGGACUCCUUACACUCCUAACUGUGAUCACAGACAAGAAAUACCUUCCGAAGUGCUCUGUAGAUUUUUUUGAUGAAUGUUUUAUGCUUGCAUUUAAACUUGAAAUGUAUGAGCAGAAUGAGACAAUCUUUACAAUCAGAAUUGAGAAGUGUUACAAUUGAAUGGCCUUGUGCUGUAGCAAUAAAAUGACCAAGUGCAAUGACUUUAAUAAAAUCAUCUUUCAAACGUUGCUGCUAUUAAUAUUUUUAGUUAACAAAAUUCUGUCGUUUAGCCUACCUUGCCUUCUGUUUGUUAACUGUUAUGUGAUACAGUUGAUGUUUUGACAAUCUAACAUUCCAAAGUCCACAUAUAUAUCUUAAAAGUCUUAGAAUAGUAUAUUCAUUUUUUUUUACAGGUGCUGUUAAAAAAGGAAAUGAAAGCAUGCUUUUCCC
rnacentral:lncRNA from 1 species